ensembl:lncRNA
GAGGAGGUCCGGUGAAGCGAUGAGAAGCUCCAGAGAUGGCGAGGGAAAGAGCAGCUUUCUUUAGCCAGUUUGAGCAGGAGAUAAUCCUGAAGACCUUUGAGGAGUACAAGAACAUCAUAACUGCUAAAUGCAACACAGCAGCAGCUUCCAGGUCCAGGGUGGAAGCAUGGCAGAAGAUAGCAGAGAGGUUAAACGUGUAAGUUCAGUACGGAUGUUCACAGGGUCAUGGGCUGCAGCAUGUGUACAGAGUACAUGGAUUUACCAUAUUCUGUUUUAGCUGAUUCUGUGUUUAAAACACAUUAAGAAGACAGAUGUAGGGUUGCUUGAAGGAUUGGAUAGUAAAUAAAUGCAUGAUAUGCAUCACUGUAAUAAUUAAAUAAAUAAAAUAAAACAUACACAAGUUGUAUAUUAGUUGUGUGUUUGUCAUCUUUUAAGGUCAAAAAGUAAUUCAAGGUGUCAAGAAAAGUUUAAUUUAAACUAAAUGUAUUUUAUAUUAAAGGUAGUUAACAUAAAAAUUAAUCAGGAAAAUGUUUGUGAAUACAUUACAAGUUGUCUGGUGUAGGUAUACAAAGUAGCCUCUAAUAAAAUGUAGUUUUAGAUUUACUAAUAUUUGACUUUUUUAAAGUUAUCCAAAAGCAGUGUGUAAGACUGGUGGAGGAGAACAUGAUGCCUAGAUGCAGGAAAACUGUGAUUAAAACCCUAACAGGGUUAUUCCACCAAAUAUUGAUUUCUGAACUCUUAAAACUUUAUAAAUAUGAACUUGUAAAUAUGUUUUCUUUGCAUUAUUUGAGGUCUGAAAGCUCAUUUUUUGUUAUUUCAUCCGUUUCUCAUUUUCUGUAAAUAAAUGCUCUAAAUGACAAUAUUUUUAUUUGGAAUUUGGGAGAAAUGUUGUCUGUAGUUUAUAGAAUAAAACAACAAUGUUCAUUUUACUCAAAUAUAAACCUAUAAAUAGCAAAAUCAGAGAAACUGCUUUUUACUGCUCUGUUCUUUUUAGAUCCAACCCCAAUAACGUGAAAAGAACCUGGCAGCAGGUCAAAGUCAAGUAUAAGAACAUCGUACAAUGUGCGAACAGGAAAAGAGCGCAGAAGCAGAUGCUUGGAGGGGGAGUAUCUGCGUCCGGAUUCACCCCCGCGGAGGAGCUGGCACUGUGGCAGAUCAGAGGAAGACCCAUGAUGGAUGGCAUUGCCUGGGCCGGGCCUUCGGAACAGACUGGAUCAUGUGUUCGGAGCCCCAGUUCCACAGAGGCAGAAAGUUCAGGUCCGCUUUUACAGCAUGGGCCCACCAUUAUUGACAGCGCAGAAGAACCUAUCGAUCAUUCUGAUUCAGACCACGAUGAGAAGAACAUAGUAGUGUGUUCUCAUUCUGACCAGGUGAAUGAUACAUUCAUCAGCCCUGAAGAACCCGGUCCUUCUGGCCCAUUUCCACAUACUGAUGAAGAGAGUGACGAGGACGUGACCUCGCUCUACAAACGCUACCUCAAACAGGAGAUCGCUUACCGACAGCUGAAGAUGAAGAAGCUGGAGAAGGAGAUCCAGUUGCUUGAUAAAAAGCUGGAUGUGAGUUAGAGCUCGUCAGGAUGUCAGUAGCCCUAUCUGGACGGGAAUAAAAAAUAUAUUAUUUUUUUACA